AUGAACCGCUUUCGGGCGGGGAUUAGUGGCGAACGGGUGAGUAACACGUGGGCAAUCUGCCCUGCACUCUGGGACAAGCCCUGGAAACGGGGUCUAAUACCGGAUAUGACUGUCCAUCGCAUGGUGGAUGGUGUAAAGCUCCGGCGGUGCAGGAUGAGCCCGCGGCCUAUCAGCUUGUUGGUGAGGUAGUGGCUCACCAAGGCGACGACGGGUAGCCGGCCUGAGAGGGCGACCGGCCACACUGGGACUGAGACACGGCCCAGACUCCUACGGGAGGCAGCAGUGGGGAAUAUUGCACAAUGGGCGAAAGCCUGAUGCAGCGACGCCGCGUGAGGGAUGACGGCCUUCGGGUUGUAAACCUCUUUCAGCAGGGAAGAAGCGAAAGUGACGGUACCUGCAGAAGAAGCGCCGGCUAACUACGUGCCAGCAGCCGCGGUAAUACGUAGGGCGCAAGCGUUGUCCGGAAUUAUUGGGCGUAAAGAGCUCGUAGGCGGCUUGUCACGUCGGUUGUGAAAGCCCGGGGCUUAACCUCGGGUCUGCAGUCGAUACGGGCAGGCUAGAGUUCGGUAGGGGAGAUCGGAAUUCCUGGUGUAGCGGUGAAAUGCGCAGAUAUCAGGAGGAACACCGGUGGCGAAGGCGGAUCUCUGGGCCGAUACUGACGCUGAGGAGCGAAAGCGUGGGGAGCGAACAGGAUUA
rnacentral:rRNA from 1 species